UACAGCCAUAUCACAUUGAAGUACUGGUUCCCAUAUGAUCACCAAACUUAAGCAACAUUGAGCCUGUUCAGCACCUAGAUGGGUGACUGCUUGAGAAUAUAAGGUGCU